rnacentral:rRNA from 1 species
CGUCUAGGCGGACUGUCAAGUCAGGUGUGAAAGCCCACGGCUCAACCGUGGAAUUGCACUUGAAACUGGCAGUCUUGAGUACGGAAGAGGAAAGCGGAAUUCCUGGUGUAGCGGUGAAAUGCGUAGAUAUCAGGAAGAACACCGGUGGCGAAGGCGGCAUUCUGGUCCGAUACUGACGCUGAAGCGCGAAAGUGUGGGGAGCGAACA